AACGCACGAGACCUGCGGACCUGCGGAGGGAUCAUUAUAGAGUGGUAAACCCUCUGUAAAAGGGGGGGACCUCCUGUCCUUUGUAGGCUCUUUUUUAAAGGGCUUUUUUUAAUUUUCUGCUUCGGUGGGGUUAUCCCACCGGAACAACCUCAAAACUCUGAUCAAAAAAUCGUUCUGUCUGAGAACUUUUUAUAAUAAAAAAAACUUUUAGCAAUGGAUCUCUAGAUCGGAAGAGCACAC
rnacentral:misc_RNA from 1 species